GUGGGGAAUAUUGGACAAUGGGCGCAAGCCUGAUCCAGCCAUGCCGCGUGUGUGAAGAAGGUCUUCGGAUUGUAAAGCACUUUAAGUUGGGAGGAAGGGUUGUAGAUUAAUACUCUGCAAUUUUGACGUUACCGACAGAAUAAGCACCGGCUAACUCUGUGCCAGCAGCCGCGGUAAUACAGAGGGUGCAAGCGUUAAUCGGAAUUACUGGGCGUAAAGCGCGCGUAGGUGGUUUGUUAAGUUGGAUGUGAAAGCCCCGGGCUCAACCUGGGAACUGCAUCCAAAACUGGCAAGCUAGAGUACGGUAGAGGGUGGUGGAAUUUCCUGUGUAGCGGUGAAAUGCGUAGAUAUAGGAAGGAACACCAGUGGCGAAGGCGACCACCUGGACUGAUACUGACACUGAGGUGCGAAAGCGUGGGGAGCAAAC
rnacentral:rRNA from 1 species